UAAAGUUGUUGCAGUUAAAAAGCUUGUAGUUGCAUUUCGGAAUCUGUCCGUUGGUCGGGCUUCAUUGUCCGUACUGGUGUGGUGGGUUCUUACCUUCUGAAUAACCAGCAUGCCAUUUACUUGGUGCGCUGGGGAAGCAGGACUAUUACCUUGAAAAAAUUAGAGUGCUCAAAGCAGGCCAGCGCCUGAAUACAUUAGCAUGGAAUAAUAAAAUAGGNCGGCAUGGUUCUAUUUUGUUGGUGUCUAGGAUCACCGUAAUGAUUAAUAGGG
rnacentral:rRNA from 1 species